rnacentral:tRNA from 1 species
UCCCUGGUGGUCCAGUGGUUAAGACUCCUCCUUCUAACGCAGGAGACACAAGUUUGAUCCCUGGUCAGGGAG